GGGCGGGUAGCGAAGUGGUUAAACGCGACAGACUGUAACUCUGUUCCCUCGGGUUCGGCGGUUCAAAUCCGUCCCCUCCCACCA
rnacentral:tRNA from 1 species